AACGGCUGACCAUCGAAGGGCCUGGCCGCUUGAGUCUGGAAUCGGCAGGAAAGACAAGCAAUCGUCGACCGCCAAAAUUCCUCAGUCUGGAAACAACCGCGCAGUAGAGCAGACGGUUGAGAAUCGCGCUCCGCAGAUUUCGAGUACCGGGUUCUUUACCUCCUGGAUUCUGCGGUCCGGGUCCGCUUCUUGGUGCAACUCGACUUCCAGGACAAGGGCUCCGUAGUUCUGGCUGUCCAAGUUCUUAAUGUGGUGACCGUCGACCUAGCGCUCCGUGGUUCCUGUUUCAUGUUUACGAUGAAUUAUUUCAAUUCAUUUUUUUGCGUAAGCUCAAAUUCAGUAGCUCUCAUUGCGCUAAUAAAAUUUCUACAAUUUUUUAUAAUUUUCUCAUAAUCCCCUUGUUAAAAUGUGUCAAUACAGUAAUUAUAAUAAUCCUUACACAAUACUUUUGAUGUGUUUUGAUACUGGAAAUAUUUCUUAGUAUUCGAGGUAUACCCCGAAGUGGUUGUUUUUGGUUGUUGGAGGUGGUUGGAGGUGGACGAGGAGGAGGACGAGAAAGAUGAGGAAAACAAGGUGGACGAGGAGGACGAGGAUUUGUGCUCGGUAUAACCUGAGGUGGUUAUUGGUGGUUGUUGGGGGCGGUUGGCGGUGGUCGGAGGUGAACGAGGAGGAGGACGAGAAAGAUGAGGAAAACAAGGUGGACGAGGAGGACGAGGAUUUGUGCUCGGU
rnacentral:lncRNA from 1 species